rnacentral:lncRNA from 14 species
UCUUAUAACUGUAAUUACUGCACUUCUUUAUUAUGAUAGUGCUGAGAGAACAUGUUCAUGGCUCCUUCUGUUCCUAACAUGUGCACAUCAGAAGUAUAGUUGUGUCGGCCCCAGAAAGCCUAUAAUCAGAACAGCAAUGAAAGGAUGCAAGAAAUAGACAGUGUCACUGGAGGAGACAUAUAAACUGGAGCUGCCUUGUAACUUGAAGGUUCAAAUGAAGAGUGAAAGAGCACAGAAAUGGUGGAAACUCAUCUUUAUCCUCUGUUCUUCAACAUCUGUUCUUUCAUCUCAAAAAACACAGGGAUAUUUUAAGCCUCCUGUUGGAACAUUAAGG